rnacentral:rRNA from 1 species
AGGGCACCACCAGGAGUGGAGCCUGCGGCUUAAUUCGACUCAACACGGGGAAACUCACCCGGCCCGGACACCGGAAGGAUUGACAGAUUGAUAGCUCUUUCUUGAUUCGGUGGAUGGUGGUGCAUGGCCGUUCUUAGUUGGUGGAGCGAUCUGUCUGGUUAAUUCCGAUAACGAACGAGACUCUAGCCUAUUAAAUAGACGUCGGGUUCUCUGCACUCGACGGUCUUCUUAGAGGGACAAGGUGCUUUUAGCACCGCGAAACAGAGCAAUAACAGGUCUGUGAUGCCCUUAGAUGUCCGGGGCCGCACGCGCGCUACACUGAAGGAAGCAGCGUGUAACAACCUUGUUCUAACGAACUGGGUAACCCGUGGAACUUCCUUCAUGAUUGGGAUAGGGGUUUGCAAUUGUGCCCCUUGAACGAGGAAUUCCCAGUAAACACUAGUCAUCAGCUAGUGCUGAUUACGUCCCUGCCCUUUGUACACACCGCCCGUCGCUACUACCGAUUGAAUGGUUUAGUGA